rnacentral:tRNA from 1 species
GGGGAAUUCCCGAGUGGCCAAAGGGGACAGACUGUAAAUCUGCUGGCUAUGCCUUCGUAGGUCCGAAUCCUUCACUCCCCA